rnacentral:lncRNA from 1 species
UUGAGAAUGAAGGGUAGCCAUUCUACCAUUAAACAGCCACUAAAGAGAGCCCUUUCCUAAAAACAUUAUCUCCUGGAAGAACAUUGAGCUCUUUUCAUCCUUCUGAAACGAUGCAAAUUGCAAAUGGGAUCAAGAUCAAGAUCAUAAACAACAAGGAAAACCAAGGAAUCAUCACAGGCUGGGGGAGACUAAGUAGACAACACAACUCAAUGCAAUGUGGAAUCCUAGAACAGAGAAAGGACGCUGGCAGAAGAAUGAGUCAAUCCAAUAAGGGAGAACAAAGUGGAUCCCGUCUCCAGGCAAGGGCUCAUGUGGCUCACGAGGAGCCCAUCCAUCUUCCUGCACCUCAGGUCUAUAUUCACUACAGACAAGGAAUAACUCUGUAGGUAACCUCUCAUUCUAAACCGGGCUCCGUCAGGAUUCUUACAGAUCCAUAGCAUUUUGCAAGCUGACAUAGGACCCUUUCAAACAAUGCAACCUAACCUUCACCAACAGCUAUGAUUCUCUUCCUACUCUUCUGCACAGAGAGGCCCUGACCCUCAGCUGUCGCUGGAGCUCGAGAUGGUGGCCAAGGCGAAAGCAGUCAAGCC